AAAUAUUUAUACUUAAGUAGUAAUAGUUAUAUUCUUGAAACUUAAAAAAUUUGGCGGUAUUUUAGUCUAUCCAGAGGAACCUGUUUUGUAAUCGAUAAUCCACGAUGGACCUUACUUAAAUUUGUAAUCAGUUUAUAUACCGUCGUUAUUAGAAUAUUUUAUAAGAAUAAUAAUAUUCAAUAAUUUUUAUUAAAAUUUAUAUCAGAUCAAGGUGUAGCUUAUAUUUAUGUAAUAAUGGGUUACAAUAAAUUUAUUUAAACGAAUAAAAUUAUGAAAAAAUUUUUGAAGGUGGAUUUGGUUGUAAAAUUAUAAAGAUUAAUAAUUUGAUUUUAGCUCUAAAAUAUGUACACAUCGCCCGUCGCUCUUAUUAUUAAGGUAAGAUAAGUCGUAACAUAGUAGAUGUACUGGAAAGUGUAUCUAGAAUGA
rnacentral:rRNA from 1 species